CUGACGAGUCCCAAAUAGGACUAAACGCGCGUC
rnacentral:hammerhead_ribozyme from 1 species